GGUGAGUAACGCGUGAGGAACCUGCCUCAAAGAGGGGGACAACAGUUGGAAACGACUGCUAAUACCGCAUAGGCCCACGACCCGGCAUCGGGAAGAGGGAAAAGGAGCAAUCCGCUUUGAGGUGGCCUCGCGUCCGAUUAGCUAGUUGGUGAGGUAACGGCCCACCAAGGCGACGAUCGGUAGCCGGACUGAGAGGUUGAACGGCCACAUUGGGACUGAGACACGGCCCAGACUCCUACGGGAGGCAGCAGUGGGGAAUAUUGCACAAUGGGGGAAACCCUGAUGCAGCGACGCCGCGUGGAGGAAGAAGGUCUUCGGAUUGUAAACUCCUGUUGUUGAGGAAGAUAAUGACGGUACUCAACAAGGAAGUGACGGCUAACUACGUGCCAGCAGCCGCGGUAAAACGUAGGUCACAAGCGUUGUCCGGAAUUACUGGGUGUAAAGGGAGCGCAGGCGGGCGAUCAAGUUGGAAGUGAAAUCCAUGGGCUCAACCCAUGAACUGCUUUCAAAACUGGUCGUCUUGAGUAGUGCAGAGGUAGGCGGAAUUCCCGGUGUAGCGGUGGAAUGCGUAGAUAUCGGGAGGAACACCAGUGGCGAAGGCGGCCUACUGGGCACCAACUGACGCUGAGGCUCGAAAGUGUGGGUAGCAAACAGGAUUAGAUACCCUGGUAGUCCACACCGUAAACGAUGAUUACUAGGUGUUGGGAGAUUGACCCUCUCAGUGCCGCAGUUAACACAAUAAGUAAUCCACCUGGGGAGUA
rnacentral:rRNA from 1 species